CCUACGGGGCGCACCAGUGGGGAAUAUUGCACAAUGGGCGCAAGCCUGAUGCAGCCAUGCCGCGUGUAUGAAGAAGGCCUUCGGGUUGUAAAGUACUUUCAGCGGGGAGGAAGGCGAUAAGGUUAAUAACCUUGUCGAUUGACGUUACCCGCAGAAGAAGCACCGGCUAACUCCGUGCCAGCAGCCGCGGUAAUACGGAGGGUGCAAGCGUUAAUCGGAAUUACUGGGCGUAAAGCGCACGCAGGCGGUCUGUCAAGUCGGAUGUGAAAUCCCCGGGCUCAACCUGGGAACUGCAUUCGAAACUGGCAGGCUAGAGUCUUGUAGAGGGGGGUAGAAUUCCAGGUGUAGCGGUGAAAUGCGUAGAGAUCUGGAGGAAUACCGGUGGCGAAGGCGGCCCCCUGGACAAAGGCUGACGCUCAGGUGCGAAAGCGUGGGGAGCAAAGAGGAUUAGACAGCCUUCUGGUU
rnacentral:rRNA from 1 species